rnacentral:rRNA from 1 species
GAUGAACGCUAGCGGGAGGCUUAAUACAUGCAAGUCGAACGGUAAGGUCAGAGCUUGCUCUGAUACACGAGUGGCGCACGGGUGAGUAACGCGUACACGAUCUACCUUUAAGUGGGGAAUAGCCCUGGGAAACUAGGAUUAAUACCCCAUAAUAUUAUUUAAUUACGAAUAAUUAAAGCUCCGGCGCUUAAAGAUGAGUGUGCGUACUAUUAGAUUGUUGGUGAGGUAACGGCUCACCAAGUCGACGAUAGUUAGGGGGCGUGAGAGCGUGACCCCCCACACGGGUACUGAGACACGGACCCGACUCCUACGGGAGGCAGCAGUAAGGAAUAUUGGACAAUGGGCGAAAGCCUGAUCCAGCCAUCCCGCGUGCAGGAUGAAUGCCCUAUGGGUUGUAAACUGCUUUUAUUUGGGAAGAAACGCCUGGUUUUAACCGGGCCUGACGGUACCAAACGAAUAAGCACCGGCUAACUCCG